rnacentral:rRNA from 1 species
UACGAAGGGGGCUAGCGUUGCUCGGAAUCACUGGGCGUAAAGCGCACGUAGGCGGCUUUCUAAGUCAGGGGUGAAAUCCUGGAGCUCAACUCCAGAACUGCCUUUGAUACUGGGGAUCUCGAGUCCGGAAGAGGUGAGUGGAACUGCGAGUGUAGAGGUGAAAAUUCGUAGAUAUUCGCAAAGAACACCAGUGGCGAAGGCGGCUCACUGGUCCGGUACUGGACGCUGAGGUGCGAAAAGCGUGGGGAGCAACAGGGAUAAGAAACC